ACUCCAUCGCCGAGAUGAAAACAUGAUGGGUCAUAGCACCAGCAGCAGCAGCACAUCCCAGAAUCUAUCGACUACGACGUCGACCUCGUCCAUUAAAUCUUCCGCCCUUUCGAACCAUCGCAAGAUGUCGUCCAAAAUCAACGAUAUCAAGUCAAGGCUCCGCUCCUCGAUGGACAGUCUGGACGAUCCUCAGGGAGCCGAUCCGCUGGUAACGUUUCCCGACUCCGAAACCGAUGACGAUCACCUCUCCGGCAUGGCCUCGUCACUGAAGCCGCUCGGUGCGAAUGGUGGGGCCAGCGGCAGCAUCCUCGUCCCGAACGGUACCAAUCACCACCAUCAGGCCCUGAUGAACGGGUGCGCCGCCGCCGGCACGACCGUCGAUACGGUCAAGUUCGAGCAGAAGAAAAUGACGUCCGAGUCGAAGACGAAGGUAACGACGGACGGGUUCAGCAGCGAGCAGGCCACUAUCAACUCGGCCGAAUCGAAGAAGCUGCAGGCGGGCGACCUGCAGUACCAGGAGCAGGCCGCCCUCGCCGCCACGAGCAGCCGGAUGGAGGUGGACGGUGUAACCGCGGAGGAGAAGGGUGCAAUACUGAAGGAAGCCCGGUCGUUAAAAAUGGGAGACUUUCAGCAGGCAGAGGCAAACAACAUUGCAGCUCACAGUCGGAAAGUACACAGUGACCACUUUAGUGCGGAAAACAAAGCAAUCUCGCAGGCCCAGCAAAAGCAGACAGUGUCCGCGAGCGGCAUCUUCAACCAGGAAAAGCACGUCUCCUCCACGACCCAGUCCACCUUUACGAUGUCGAACACGAGCACGAUCAGCUCGUCCUCGCAGAUGAGCACACUGUCGUCCUCGUCGUCGGCCGCCCUCGGCGACGACUUCCCCUCGUUCGAGGACUUUGAGCGGUUGGGAAACACGCCCGAGGAGAUCGACAGCACGAUCAUGAAGUACUCGAAGCAUCUGGCCAACUAUGUGCAGAAUCUGCAGCAGACGGAGCAGCUGAAGAAGGCACCGACGCUGCUAAAUCACAUGAACGAGAUCAUUCGGCGGGCGUGGGCUGUCCCAACGCACGGCCACGAGCUCGGUGCCAGUCUGUGCGAUACGCUGCGCAAUACGGGCGGGUUGGACAUACUGAUGCGCAACUGUGUGGAUAACGAUUCGGAGGUGCAGUUCUCGUCCGCCCGGUUGCUGGAGCAGUGCCUGACGACCGAAAACCGAACGCACGUGGUGAAGAACGGGCUGGACAAGGUGGUGAAUGUGGCGUGCGUCUGCACGCGCAACAAUGCGACGGAUCAUUCGCGCGUCGGCACCGGCAUACUGGAGCAUCUGUUCAAGCACAGCGAGGACACGUGCUCGAACGUGAUCCGGCUCGGCGGGCUGGAUGCGGUGCUGUUCGAGUGCCGUAAGAACGAUGUGGAAACGCUGCGACACUGUGCCGGUGCGUUGGCCAACCUGUCGCUGUACGGUGGGUCGGAGAACCAGGAAGCGAUGAUCAAUCGGAAGGUUCCGUCGUGGCUGUUCCCGCUCGCUUUCCACAACGACGAAAACAUCAAGUACUACGCCUGUCUGGCGAUCGUGGUGCUGGUCGCAAACAAGGAAAUAGAGGCGGAGGUGAUCAAAUCCGGCACGCUCAAUCUCGUGGAGCCGUUCGUGACGACGCACAACCCGUCGGAGUUUGCCAAAUCGAAUCUGGCGCACGCCCACGGGCAGAGCAAGCACUGGCUGCAGCGGCUGGUGCCGGUGCUGAGCUCGAAGCGCGAGGAGGCGCGCAACCUGGCCGCGUUCCAUUUCUGCAUGGAGGCGGGCAUCAAGAAGGAGCAGGGCAAUACGAACAUCUUCAAGGAGAUCGGAGCGAUCGAGCCGCUGAUCCGGGUGGCCAGCUCGCCGAACGCGAUCGCUUCCAAGUUUGCGGCCCAAGCGCUGCGGCUGAUCGGGGAGGAAGUGCCGCACAAGCUGUCCCAGCAGGUGCCGCUCUGGUCGACGGAGGACGUGCGCGAGUGGGUGAAGCAGAUCGGGUUCGGCGAGUACGAGCAGAGCUUCUACGACUCGAAGGUGGACGGGGAUCUGCUGCUGCAGAUGCAGGACCACAACCUGUGCGACGACAUCGGGAUGAAGAACGGAAUUCUGCGGAUACGGUUUCUGCGCGAGCUGCAGAAUCUGAAGAAGAUGGCGGACUACAGUUCGCGCGACACGGACGGGCUGCACGCGUUCCUGAGCCGCAUCGGGCCGGAGUACACGAUCUACACGUACACGAUGCUGAACGCGGGCGUGGACAUUGAGUCGCUGCGGACGCUGGACGAGGAUCAGCUGACGGCGACGUGCGGCAUUACCAAUGCGAUCCAUCGGUCGCGCAUUCUGCAGGUGAUUAAGCUGAACGAGUCGAUCCCGUCGUUCCGGUCGGAGCAGAGUGCGGAGAAGAAUCUGGACGUGUUUGUGAGCUACCGGCGCAGCAAUGGGUCGCAGCUGGCGAGCCUGCUGAAGGUGCACCUGGAGCUGCGCGGAUUUUCGGUGUUCAUCGACGUGGAGCGGCUGGAGGCGGGCAAGUUUGAUAACAAUCUGCUGCAGAGCAUUCGGCAUGCGCGCCACUUUCUGCUGGUGCUGACACCGGAUGCGCUGAACCGGUGCAUCGAUGAUGUCGAUUGCAAGGAUUGGGUACAUCGGGAAAUUGUCGCCGCACUCAACUCCGAAUGUAACAUCAUUCCCAUCAUCGACAACUUCCAGUGGCCCGAGCCGGAAAAGCUGCCCGAGGAUAUGCGCGGCGUCUGCCACUUUAACGGCAUACGCUGGAUCCACGACUAUCAGGACGCCUGUGUGGACAAAGUGGAAAGGUAUCUUAGAAAUUCCAUUAACCAUAACAAACGCUCAAACUCUACGCAUAAAGCUAGCUAAAAAGCCUUACCGCAGCAAGAGACAGAGAUAGAGUGUGUGUGUAUAGUGUGCGAAUGUGCGUGAUAGUGAUGGUAGGCGAGAAUGAAAAAUAGGUGCUUUGCGAGACUUGAUCGAGACCCGAAACGUGGAACGACAUAACCUGCGCCUGCCUGUCUGUCUGUGGAGUGCUGCUGUUUGUUUUUGCUUGCUCGCACACGUGUAUCACUCAUGCGUAUGUGUACUGCCUGCCGACGCCUAAACGCAAAUUUGAUCUCAGCUAAUUAAGCAACUCAGCACAAACGGGAACGGGAAGAGGCUCUCUACAAAAACUCGCCAGCUCUCAUCAGUGUGCUUUUUCGUUUCUGCUCAACGGUGGCGGUGUGAUAGUAGGACAUGUUGCGUGUGCGUGUGGGUAAAGGGUGGACAUAUCUGUUAUGCUUGUUUUGUUUGUGGUCUGCUGGGGAUUCUGGGAGUGUGGCGAUGUGUCCUAACUGAAACUAAAUGUGUUGGAGUGCCUGUUGCGUGUGCUAAAAAACAAAGGGGGAAUCCGUGUUUGGGGCGGAGGUGAAUGUGCAUGGAAUGGUGUGGAACAUUGGGGGAACGGACCCACACAAACAGACAUACAAAGGCACACAGAGACAACCGUAAGGAAACAACUCGACACGAGGUUCAUGCGAGCGGAAAUGAAUGGUCGCGGAGGAUGCGGACUGCUGGACCAUGGCAGCCGGCUGCUCAGCCGCCAGCCGGGCGAUGCGACGCCCACGUCCGCCAUCUACCAGCGCAUGCACAGCAACGAUUCCGGCAAGAGCAGCGACAA